rnacentral:rRNA from 1 species
GACGAACGCUGGCGGCGUGCUUAACACAUGCAAGUCGAACGAAGUGGCGAACGGGUGAGUAACGCGUAAUUAACCUGCCCUUCAGAGGGGGACAACAGUUGGAAACGACUGCUAAUACCGCAUACUGAAGGAGGGGAUUGCGUCGGAUUGGCUAGUUGGAGGGGUAACGGCCCACCAAGGCGAUGAUCAGUAGCCGGUCUGAUAGGGUGAACGGCCCAAUUGGGACUGAGACACGGCCCAGACUCCUACGGGAGGCAGCGGUGGGGAAUCUUCCGCAAUGGAGGAAAGUCUGACGGAGCAACGCCGCGUGGGUGAUGACGGCCUUCGGGUUGUAAAGCUCUGUUAAUCGGGACGCGGUACCGGAAUAGAAAGCCACGGCUAACUACGUGCCAGCAGCCGCGGUAAUUC